rnacentral:rRNA from 1 species
AACGGAAGGGGCAAGCGUUGUCCGGAAUUAUUGGGCGUAAAGAGCUCGUAGGCGGUCUGUCGCGUCGGCUGUGAAAACCCGAGGCUCAACCUCGGGCCUGCAGUCGAUACGGGCAAACUGGAGUGUUGCAGGGGAGACUGGAAUUCCUGGUGUAGCGGUGAAAUGCGCAGAUAUCAGGAGGAACACCGGUGGCGAAGGCGGGUCUCUGGGCAACAACUGACGCUGAGGAGCGAAAGCGUGGGGAGCGAACAGG